rnacentral:rRNA from 1 species
CCUACGGGGGGCAGCAGUAGGGAAUUUUCGGCAAUGGGGGGAACCCUGACCGAGCAACGCCGCGUGAACGAAGAAGUUAUUCGUAAUGUAAAGUUCUUUCAACAGGGAAGAAAGCGAAAUUUGACGGUACCUGAAGAAUAAGCUCCGGCUAACUACGUGCCAGCAGCCGCGGUAAUACGUAGGGAGCGAGCGUUAUGCGGAAUUAUUGGGCGAAAAGGGUGCGUAGGUAGCAUAGUAAGUCUUGUGUAAACAUGCUGGGCACAACCCAGUAGGGCAAAAGAUACGGCAAAGCUAGAGUAUGACAGAGCAAGUGGAAGUACAUGUGUAGCGGUAAAAUGCGUAGAUAUAUGUAAGAACACCAGUGGCGAAGGCGGCUUGCUGGGUCGAUACUGACAUUGAGGCACGAAAGCGUGGGGAGCAAACAGGAUUAGAUACCCGAGUAGUC